UACGGAGGGUGCGAGCGUUAAUCGGAAUUACUGGGCGUAAAGCGCGCGUAGGCGGUUUGUUAAGUCGGAUGUGAAAGCCCCGGGCUCAACCUGGGAACUGCACCCGAUACUGGCCGACUUGAGUGCGAGAGAGGGAGGUAGAAUUCCAUGUGUAGCGGUGAAAUGCGUAGAUAUAUGGAGGAAUACCGGUGGCGAAGGCGGCCUCCUGGCUCGACACUGACGCUGAGGUGCGAAAGCGUGGGUAGCAAACAGG
rnacentral:rRNA from 1 species